GUGUAACAAGUGUUUCAAUACUAACACCGUUACUAGAAUGGAUAAAAUCAGGUAAGUAUGGACCAGAUCAGAAGACAACAGAUUCGACUCGAGAGAGAGAGGCGGUUUGCACAUCAAGAAUGAAGCACACGGAAGCAGGAUCUGUAUUUCAAAGGUCGAUCACAUGGGUGGCUCGCCAGUCCGUGCGCCGCUGUAGCUCUCCAGGGAAGGCAAGCAGGGGCGGACGAAUCCAGGAUCCAGCACAGCAGUUCAAAUCCAACAACAAAAAAACAACACACACAAAAAAAAAAAAAAACCCGGCCAAG